rnacentral:lncRNA from 1 species
GAGGGAGAUUAUCAUUUUUGGAGACUGUACACCCUCACAUUGUAUCUUUUACCAUGAGGAUGACUUAGAGAUCUCACUUGGUUGGUACACAGAAUAUAGGACUUCAUGCCAUAAAAUAUGGAAUCAAAUAGCCUUACAUACCUUGUCUCCCGACCAAUACUAUGUGGUACCAUGAAUCAACCUUUCCUUUGAGGCGUUA